rnacentral:misc_RNA from 1 species
GUGGUGUUUGGAUCGUCCCUGCCGGCUGGCUCCGUGCCCGUCCACCGAACGGCCGGCAGGCGAUCCGCGUCGGUCGUGUGGGGUCUUAUGGUUCCCCAGAGGCCGGUUCUUGUGCUGCCUACCCGUUCAGGGGAAGCGGGCCACUUGUUGUAAGCCUCCAUCCGGCGCCUUCCAACGGGCGCUGGAGGACAACGUAGCACCCCCCGCGUUCCACCGAGCCUUCACCGGUCGCGUGGCGCGCGGGGACGUGCGACGCUCUCGGACCCAGCGAACGCUGUGGGCGAGGACUCACGUCCCCGUCCCAACAGAAGCUCCCACAUAACGCUGACGGCCGUUCCCGCCCCCCCACGUGAGGGCGAGGCGCGGCGUCGUGGAGGAAUGCUACCU